rnacentral:rRNA from 1 species
AAUUGGAGGGCAAGUCUGGUGCCAGCAGCCGCGGUAAUUCCAGCUCCAAUAGCGUAUAUUAAAGUUGUUGCAGUUAAAAAGCUCGUAGUUGAAUUUCGGGAUCAAUAUUUCGGUCAUGCCGUUGGUAUGCACUGUUAUCAUUGAUUUCUCACCUUCUAAAGAACCGUAAUGCCAUUAAUUUGGUGUUACGGGGAAUUAGGACUGUUACCUUGAAAAAAUUAGAGUGUUUAAAGCAGGCUCACGCUUGAAUACAUUAGCAUGGAAUAAUGAAAUAGGACAUCCGAUUCUAUUUUGUUGGUUUCUAGGAUCGAUGUAAUGAUUAAUAGGGAUAGUUGGGGGCAUUAGUAUUCAAUUGUCAGAGGUGAAAUUCUUGGAUUUAUUGAAGACUAACUACUACGAAAGCAUUUGCCAAGGAUGUUUUCAUUAAUCAAGAACGAAAGUUAGGGGAUCGAAGACGAUCAGAUACCGUCGUAGUCUUAACCAUAAACUAUGCCGACUAGGGAUCGGAUGAUGUUAAUUUUUUAAUGACUCAUUCGGCGCCUUACGGGAAACCAAAGUGU